UACGUAGGGUCCGAGCGUUGUCCGGAAUUACUGGGCGUAAAGAGCUCGUAGGCGGUGUGUCGCGUCGGCCGUGAAAACCUGCAGCUUAACUGUGGGCCUGCGGUCGAUACGGGCAUCACUGGAGUUCGGCAGGGGAGACUGGAAUUCCUGGUGUAGCGGUGAAAUGCGCAGAUAUCAGGAGGAACACCGGUGGCGAAGGCGGGUCUCUGGGCCGAUACUGACGCUGAGGAGCGAAAGCGUGGGGAGCGAACAGG
rnacentral:rRNA from 1 species